UUUACGCCCGCGUGAACCGCACCUCUUCCUCGAAUUCGAUCGUAGAUUUGUCUGGAAUUACGAUUUAUCGCCACGUUCCAAACAUUGAUGUCUCUGCAAAGGAUGAUUAUAAAGACGUAUGAUACGAGAGUGAGUAUUCCAAAUGUCUAAAUAGGCAACGAUUAAAAUCCUCAAUUCAUUUAUGGAACACGAAGAAUAGUAUAAAGGAAUUUAAUGACAAUCGCAAUUUCAAAUUGUUGAUUUCGAUUAUUGAUUUCGAUUGUCGAUUUCGAGCACGAAUUUCCGUGUUCUUCCGGCUGGCAACAAAGAGGUGCACUUUCCGUCACGGUCAUAAACGGAACACAAUGAGAGAUUAACCAGUUUGCUGAAAAUUUUUCUCGUGAGAUGCCGGAGACGGAAUACUGAUUUAUUCGAAGAUGGUGAGAGAUUGCCGGUUACAACCGAAGAGAUAAACAGCGAUAAGAUAGAACAUAUCAUUUGUCAAACGAGACGUUGUCCUGUUCUCUGCGUACACGUUUUGCCUCUGACAAUCUUGCUACGUGCUUUGAAAUGUAUUUUCAAUGCAUUCACUACUGAACGUGUUGAAAUGUAUACUUGUAGAUAGGAACAACCAAGAAUGUUACAACAUCGAGCAUCAGAUUUUGAUUAAAUGAAAAGAUCCAAAAUUCUAAUAUGGAAAAAACACUUACUAUUGAAAACUCGAUUGUAUCCGUUACGAUUUUCCUUCUAAAUGAAAAAGAUGAAUAAACAAACUGUUAUCCCUUUGGCAACGCGUAAGUACUUGUGCCGUAACGUGUACCGUAUUCAACCGGAUGUCAUGAUGUGGUUUGCCUUAUUGUAAGGUAUAUUAACGUUCAUGCGGACGUUGCUACCAAAUCGGACGAGCGACGUUAACCGAGCCGAAUUAUGCGACAGCAUGCAGCUGCAACAUGAACUAGCUAUACUAAAGAAUUAUCUUGCGUCUAAAAACGCUAUGUAUAUUAUAUGUAUAUUUGGUGAAUUUUAAUUUUGUCUUUUUUUUUUUUUAUGAAAAAACAAUUUAUAUAAUAU